rnacentral:rRNA from 1 species
UGGGGAAUAUUGGACAAUGGGCGAAAGCCUGAUCCAGCCAUGCCGCGUGUGUGAAGAAGGUCUUCGGAUUGAAAAGCACUUUAAGUUGGGAGGAAGGGCAGUAAGCGAAUACCUUGCUGUUUUGACGUUACCGACAGAAUAAGCACCGGCUAACUCUGUGCCAGCAGCCGCGGUAAUACAGAGGGUGCAAGCGUUAAUCGGAAUUACUGGGCGUAAAGCGCGCGUAGGUGGUUCGUUAAGUUGAAUGUGAAAGCCCCGGGCUCAACCUGGGAACUGCAUCCAAAACUGGCGAGCUAGAGUAGGGCAGAGGGUGGUGGAAUUUCCUGUGUAGCGGUGAAAUGCGUAGAUAUAGGAAGGAACACCAGUGGCGAAGGCGACCACCUGGGCUCAUACUGACACUGAGGUGCGAAAGCGUGGGGAGCAAACAGG